rnacentral:rRNA from 1 species
CCAAUAGCGUAUAUUAAAGUUGUUGCAGUUAAAAAGCUCGUAGUUGAAUUUCGGGAUCAAUGUUUCGGUCAUGCCGUUGGUAUGUACUGAUAUUAUUGGUUUCUCACCAUCUAAAGAACCGUAAUGCCAUUAAUUUGGUGUCACGGGGAAUUAGGACUGUUACCUUGAAAAAAUUAGAGUGUUUAAAGCAGGCUCACGCUUGAAUACAUUAGCAUGGAAUAAUGAAAUAGGACAUCCGAUUCUAUUUUGUUGGUUUCUAGGAUCGAUGUAAUGAUUAAUAGGGAUAGUUGGGGGCAUUAGUAUUCAAUUGUCAGAGGUGAAAUUAUUGGAUUUAUUGAAGACUAACUACUGCGAAAGCAUUUGCCAAGGAUGUUUUCAUUAACCAAGAACGAAAGUUAGGGGAUAGAAGACGAUCAGAUACCGUCGUAGUCUUAACCAUAAACUAUGCCGACUAGGGAUCGGAUGAUGUUAAUUUUUUAAUGACUCAUUUGGCGCCUUACG